ACCGCUGCGUGGCGCAGUGGGAGCGCGCCGGAACUAUAAACCCGGAGGACACCAGAUCGAAACUGGUCGCAGCCAA